rnacentral:rRNA from 1 species
AUUGAACGCUGGCGGCAGGCUUAACACAUGCAAGUCGAGCGAGCGGCGGACGGGUGAGCAAUGUCUGGGAAACUGCCUGAUGGAGGGGGCUAACUACUGGAAACGGUAGCUAAUACCGCAUACCAUCAGAUGUGCCGAGGUGGGAUGAGCUAGUAGGUGGGGUAAUGGCUCACCUAGGCGACGAUGCCUAGCUGGUCUGAGAGGAUGACCAGCCACACGGGAACUGAGACACGGUCCAGACUCCUACGGGAGGCAGCAGUGGGGAAUAUUGCACAAUGGGCGCAAGCCUGAUGCAGCCAUGCCGCGUGUGUGAAGAAGGCCUUCGGGUUGUAAAGCACUUUCAGCGAGGAGGCGUUACUCGCCGAAGAAGCACCGGCUAACUCCGUGCCAGCAGCCGCGGUAAUUC